rnacentral:antisense_RNA from 1 species
CGUAUAUUUGGGAUAUUAUAACUAAUCAUCGUUGGCCUUUCAAGAGAAAGCCCCCAUGCAAUCACAACGAUGUCAGAGGGAAACCCGAGUGGUCUAAGCAUUUCUGGUCUAAAUAAGCCGGAAUUUCCAACUUCGAUCCACUUUUUUAGGGUAGUGUGGUAUCCAAAGAUUUCCAUAGAAGGCUCAGUAUAAGGGUUAAAUGCAGGUUUAAAUUUAAGAUCGGAAAUACCAAUCUUUUCGUAGAAAGUCUUUAAAGUUCCGAUUAGAUCUGCAAGUGUAAGAUUCUUGUCGACAAUUAAUCCCUCAACCUGAUGAAACUCAGCAAGAUGGGUAGCAUCGAUUGAUUCAUUUCUGAAAACACGGUCAAUUGAGAAGUAAGCCUUUCUCUGGAAAUUAUCAAAAGAUAGUCCGUUCUCGUUAUAUAAAUACAUUUGAGCAAGUUUAUAAAGCAUUCUUACGGAAACUGCUGUUGUGUGAGUUCUAAGAAGAUUUUUAGAGGCUUCUUCAAUACUCCAAUUGUAAGAUAAACCAAUUGAUCCAUAUCCGCCAAUCUCAUGUACUUUUUUAACUUUAUCAAUGUGAUCGUUCGACAACUCCAUUUCAUUUCUGAAAGUACUUGGAGUUUCUAAGAAGAAAGUAUCAUGAGAAUCUCUUGCAGGAUGUUUUUGAGGUUGGAAAAGAGCAUCAAAAUUCCAGAAUGAACUUUCAACCCAGCGAUUAGUAGGCAUCUCUUCAAAUCCCAUUUGAGAUAAAAUUCUCUUAAACUUUCUUGAAGUGCGAGUAAGAGGAUGAAUAUUUCCUCUUGGCAGUCUUUUUCCUUUUGCAUUGAAAUUAUAGGGUUUAAACUCGUUGUUUUCCCAACUUGAGUUCAUAAUCAUUUCUUGGGUUAAAUCAGUAAUCAUAGGUUUAAGCUUCACAGUAAAGUCCUCCCCCUUAUUAAUCAUGA